AAUAAGUAAUAGGGGGUAAACUGGGUAGGGAGAAAAUGUAAGAUAUUCAAAAUUUAUUUAUUUGCGAUAACGAAUAAAAAUUUGUCAACCAAACGUUUUGCUAUAAUUUUAUUAACAUUUCGUUCUGUAUUGGUACAGUUUUUUUUAUCUUUCAUUUAUACAUUUAAGGCCGUACAAAGUUUGGGCUUCAAAAGUCCACAUAAUUAUUGACUAUUUACAGAAAAUUUAUCCUUUUAAAACAUAAAAUGUUUCCAAAACAAUACGUUUCUACAAAGUAAAAUCAUUUCUCAAAACACUGCAAAAAAUUUCAUUUCGAUUGGUACAGGAGCAUUGUCAUAAAGUGUGUUGAAAUAAACAGUGGUAUAGCAAACAUCGAAUUCCCUCACAAAAUCUUGUUAGGC
rnacentral:lncRNA from 1 species